UACGUAGGGUGCGAGCGUUAAUCGGAAUUACUGGGCGUAAAGCGUGCGCAGGCGGUUCGUUAUGUCCGAUGUGAAAGCCCCGAGCUCAACUUGGGAAUGGCAUUGGAAACUGGCGGGCUGGAGUGUGGCAGAGGGGGGUGGAAUUCCCCGUGUAGCAGUGAAAUGCGUAGAGAUGUGGAGGAACACCGAUGGCGAAGGCAGCCCCCUGGGCCAACACUGACGCUCAGGCACGAAAGCGUGGGGAGCAAACAGG
rnacentral:rRNA from 1 species